UACGGAGGGUGCAAGCGUUACUCGGAAUCACUGGGCGUAAAGGAUGCGUAGGCUGGAAAUCAAGUCGAGAGUGAAAUCCAACGGCUCAACCGUUGAACUGCUCUCGAAACUGGUUACCUAGAAUAUGGGAGAGGUAGAUGGAAUUGGUGGUGUAGGGGUAAAAUCCGUAGAUAUCACCAGGAAUACCGAUUGCGAAGGCGAUCUACUGGAACAUUAUUGACGCUGAGGCAUGAAAGCGUGGGGAGCAAAC
rnacentral:rRNA from 2 species